rfam:Nicotiana attenuata strain TT chromosome 2, whole genome shotgun sequence.
UGGACAGAUUAUUGUAUUCGACUGUAUCCACGGCGUGAAACAGGGGAUUACACUGUUUUUAAACAGAAGUAAAACCAUUAACAUAAUAGACUCCU